rnacentral:rRNA from 1 species
GACGAACGCUGGCGGCGUGCCUAACACAUGCAAGUCGAGCGGAGAUACUAAGCUUGCUUAGUAUUUUAGCGGCGGACGGGUGAGUAACGCGUGGGCAACCUGCCCUUCACAGGGGGAUAACACUGGGAAACUAGUGCUAAUACCGCAUAACACAUAUUUGUGGCAUCACAGAUAUGUCAAAGGAGUAAUCCGGUGAAGGAUGGGGCCCGCGUCCGAUUAGCUAGUUGGUGGGGUAAAGGCCUACCAAGGCGACGAUCGGUAGCCGAACUGAGAGGUUGAUCGGCCACAUUGGGACUGAGACACGGCCCAGACUCCUACGGGAGGCAG